rnacentral:lncRNA from 10 species
GUGGAGCGGCGGGGAGGAGGAGCCGCCGAGGAGACCCCGGGCAAGGAGCUGCGAGCCGGAGGAGGCCGCGCGAACUCCGGGCUUUCCGCGGUCGCGGGGAUCUCGGGGGGCAAAGGGAUCGCCGGGGUGGGGGACCAGAGAGCCGCGCCCGCCGCGCGGAGCGCCCCUUCGCGCCCCCAGCACCAUGAGCUGGGGUACCGAGCUCUGGAACCAUGCCAGGCAUAUAAUGUACAUUCGACUGUUGGAUAUGUUGACCCUGAUCAUGGAUUUGCACUUUCAAGAGGCAGCCGUGUGAGGAUUGUCUACCGACUGUAGUGGGAACAAUGCUUGACUCCGUGUAGAAGUUCAAUAAAUAUUUAUUGGAUAAAUGAAUAAAUCCCUUUUUUUCCUUUUGUUUUAACAUUUGCUUUUUAAAAAUAAUGGGAAGAUAAUUAUAACACCUUUCUGCACUUUGGCAGUUUAAAAAAUAUAUAUAAUUUUAGGUAUCUUUUUGGAAAAUAGACUCUAUUU